GACGAACCGUGCGAACGUUGUUCGGAAUCACUGGGCUUAAAGGGCGCGUAGGCGGCUGGACAAGUCAGGGGUGAAAUCUUUCGGCUCAACCGGAAAAGGGCCUCUGAUACUGUUCAGCUCGAGGGAGAUAGGGGCGGACGGAACUUCCGGUGGAGCGGUGAAAUGCGUUGAUAUCGGAAGGAACGCCGGUGGCGAAAGCAGCGUGCUGGACCUUUUCUGACGCUGAGGCGCGAAAGCCAGGGGAGCAAACGGG
rnacentral:rRNA from 1 species